GGCGGCGUGCUUAACACAUGCAAGUCGAACGAUGAAGCCCAGCUUGCUGGGUGGAUUAGUGGCGAACGGGUGAGUAACACGUGAGUAACCUGCCCCUGACUUCGGGAUAAGCGCUGGAAACGGCGUCUAAUACCGGAUAUGAGCCGUCCUCGCAUGGGGGUGGUUGGAAAGUUUUUCGGUCAGGGAUGGGCUCGCGGCCUAUCAGCUUGUUGGUGGGGUGAUGGCCUACCAAGGCGACGACGGGUAGCCGGCCUGAGAGGGCGACCGGCCACACUGGGACUGAGACACGGCCCAGACUCCUACGGGAGGCAGCAGUGGGGAAUAUUGCACAAUGGGCGCAAGCCUGAUGCAGCGACGCCGCGUGAGGGAUGACGGCCUUCGGGUUGUAAACCUCUUUCAGCAGGGAAGAAGCGCAAGUGACGGUACCUGCAGAAGAAGCGCCGGCUAACUACGUGCCAGCAGCCGCGGUAAUACGUAGGGCGCAAGCGUUGUCCGGAAUUAUUGGGCGUAAAGAGCUCGUAGGCGGUCUGUCGCGUCUGGUGUGAAAACUCGAGGCUCAACCUCGAGCUUGCAUCGGGUACGGGCAGACUAGAGUGCGGUAGGGGAGACUGGAAUUCCUGGUGUAGCGGUGGAAUGCGCAGAUAUCAGGAGGAACACCGAUGGCGAAGGCAGGUCUCUGGGCCGCAACUGACGCUGAGGAGCGAAAGCAUGGGGAGCGAACAGGAUUAGAUACCCUGGUAGUCCAUGCCGUAAACGUUGGGCACUAGGUGUGGGGCUCAUUCCACGAGUUCCGUGCCGCAGCAAACGCAUUAAGUGCCCCGCC
rnacentral:rRNA from 1 species